CCGGCGAGGGGAGUGAAAAAGAACCUGAAACCGUGUACGUACAAGCAGUGGGAGCCCCACCACUAAGCCAGUGGUGAACUCCACAUACGCAUCCUUUGCUGAGGAUACGGUUAACGGAGCGAAAGCGACGUUCAACCGAAAAAGAAGCAGAGGGGGCUUAGUGGUGGGGUGACUGCGUACCUUUUGUAUAAUGGGUCAGCGACUUAUAUUCUGUAGCAAGGUU
rnacentral:rRNA from 1 species